rnacentral:rRNA from 1 species
UACGUAGGUGGCAAGCGUUGUCCGGAAUUAUUGGGCGUAAAGCGCGCGCAGGCGGUCUCUUAAGUCUGAUGUGAAAGCCCACGGCUCAACCGUGGAGGGUCAUUGGAAACUGGGAGACUUGAGUGCAGAAGAGAAGAGUGGAAUUCCACGUGUAGCGGUGAAAUGCGUAGAGAUGUGGAGGAACACCAGUGGCGAAGGCGACUCUUUGGUCUGUAACUGACGCUGAGGCGCGAAAGCGUGGGGAGCAAACAGG